CCUACGGGAGGCAGCAGUGGGGAAUUUUGGACAAUGGGCGAAAGCCUGAUCCAGCAAUGCCGCGUGCAGGAUGAAGGCCUUCGGGUUGUAAACUGCUUUUGUACGGAACGAAACGGUCUUUUCUAAUACAGAGGGCUAAUGACGGUACCGUAAGAAUAAGCACCGGCUAACUACGUGCCAGCAGCCGCGGUAAUACGUAGGGUGCAAGCGUUAAUCGGAAUUACUGGGCGUAAAGCGUGCGCAGGCGGUUAUGUAAGACAGUUGUGAAAUCCCCGGGCUCAACCUGGGAAUUGCAUCUGUGACUGCAUAGCUAGAGUACGGUAGAGGGGGAUGGAAUUCCGCGUGUAGCAGUGAAAUGCGUAGAUAUGCGGAGGAACACCGAUGGCGAAGGCAAUCCCCUGGACCUGUACUGACGCUCAUGCACGAAAGCGUGGGGAGCAAACAGGAUUAGAUACCCUGGUAGUCCACGCCCUAAACGAUGUCAACUGGUUNUUGGGUCUUCACUGACUCAGUACGAAGCUAACGCGNGAGUGCGCGNGGAGCGCGCGAGUAGACGACAGAGAGUGACGNGNGAGAGNGCGACGACGACGACGAGGGAGGAGG
rnacentral:rRNA from 1 species